rnacentral:rRNA from 1 species
CAGUAGCCGCGGGAAUACGUAGGUGGCAAGCGUUGUCCGGAAUUAUUGGGCGUAAAGGGCUCGCAGGCGGCCAUUCAAGUUAGAUGUGAAAGCCCUGGGCUCAACCUAGGAAUUGCAUUUGAUACUGUUUGGCUUGAGUUCGGGAGAGGUGAGUGGAAUUCCCAGUGUAGAGGUGAAAUUCGUAGAUAUUCGGAAGAACACCAGUGGCGAAGGCGACACACUGGCUCAUUACUGACGCUGAGGCUCGAAAGCGUGGGGAGCAAACAGGAUUAGAGACCCCGGUAGUCCCUGUCUCUUAUAC